rnacentral:misc_RNA from 1 species
UACGGAGGGUGCGAGCGUUAAUCGGAAUUACUGGGCGUAAAGGGUGCGUAGGUUGUUUUUUAAGUUAUCUGUAAAAUCCCUGGGCUCAACCUGGGCAGGUCAGAUAAGACUGAAAGACUCGAGUAUGGGAGAGGGUAGUGGAAUUUCCGGUGUAGCGGUGAAAUGCGUAGAGAUCGGAAGGAACACCAGUGGCGAAGGCGGCUACCUGGCCUAAUACUGACACUGAGGCACGAAAGCGUGGGGAGCAAACAGG